GGACGCUCUGUCCCUGUGUCAGGGCUGGUUUCCUGGUUCUGGAGGCAUCUCUGGGCUGCAGGUGGGGAUUUUGUCCCCAGGAAAUGCUUGUGCCCGUGUGGGUCAUGUGAGGCUCCGCUUGUCCCAGGACCCAGGUGACUCCCAGUGCAGGACAGUGGAGUCCCUCUAAGAGGAGAGGGUCUGGAACUGGACCUCGUAAAGGCUGGAGAGCCGAUGUCCCUCUGAAUCCUGAGGAUUGCUUUAGUUCCUCUUCUCUUGGUGACCUGCCCCUUGAGAUAGGCCAGCAGGGCGCUCCCCGCUAAUGUGGAAAAAUGUCACCCUUUUUGACCCAGAGGUGGCCAGGGAGUGUAUCUUGGACAGAGGGCUGCAAAACCUUUGCACUCAACAUUUCCAGCCUCCUCUACUUCUGGCGGCUGGACACAUUUCAGUCUGUAUGACAGCAUCCCGAGCAUGUCUCUACACCCUGGGACACCAGAUGUGUCCGCCUUGGUCUCCCCCGGGGGAGGUGGCUCCACUUUGCCCCUCGCCUGCACGGCAACUGUGCUCAGGAAGCACAGCUCUGUGGGCCCAGCCCUGGCCUCUCCUGUCCUGCAGCCCCCACGACACCUGGCCCAGAAACACUUUGUGGGGCUGGGAAUUUAGCUCAGUGGUUCCACUGCCUGCCUUGCAAGCACAAGGUCCUGAGUUCAAUCCCUGGUACCAAAAAACAAAACAGAAACACUUUGUGUUUUCAGGAGUGAAAACAGCUGUGAAGUCUCUCAAGACCCUUUCUGCUCCCAAGUGCCAGCUCCAAGGUCCAUUACCUGGCUGUUGGGAAAUCCAGAUGGUCUCUGGUCCCCCUGGCUUGCGGCCUCAGGCCCCCCAAGUUCUCCUGCCUCUCAGCACAGGACCCACCCUGUGGUCCUGCUUCCCAGAUUGGCUGCCAGAAAAGUCAGAACCAACCCCCAUCAGGACGGUGUUCCAGAAGAACCGAAUGGGAAAAACAUUUUGCCAGCUAUUCCUUGGACCUUAGACAGAGGACUCAUAUCAUAUAUAUUAUAGAAUAUAUAAAGAACUCAAAAACACUGGACACCCCCAAAAUAAAAGUCUCAAUGAAAAAAAUGGGCA
rnacentral:lncRNA from 1 species